UACAGAGGGUGCAAGCGUUGUUCGGAAUCAUUGGGCGUAAAGAGCUCGUAGGCGGCUUGUCACGUCGGGUGUGAAAGACCGGGGCUUAACCCCCGGUUCUGCAUUCGAUACGGGCUAGCUAGAGUGUGGUAGGGGAGAUCGAAUUCCUGGUGUAGCGGUGAAAUGCGCAGAUAUCAGGAGGAACACCGGUGGCGAAGGCGGAUCUCUGGGCCAUUACUGACGCUGAGGAGCGAAAGCGUGGGGAGCGAACAGG
rnacentral:rRNA from 1 species